rnacentral:lncRNA from 1 species
UUUGAGGUGGUGGACUUCCAGAGCGCUUACCACGCAAUUCUGGGCUGCCCGGCGUAUGCGCGUUUCAAGGCCCGUCCAUGUUACGUAUACCUGAAGCUGAAGAUGCCAGGCCCGAAAGGUGUGAUCACCAUCAUAGGCAAUCGACAGCGGGCCGAAGGGUGUCUGCAGUAGGGAUCAAGAAUCGCCGACCAGCAGAUGGCCGUCCUCGAGCUUGACGAGUACAAGAAAACAGUCGACCCCGCUGACUUGAUGCGUUCGAAGAAGCCAGCUUCGGAGUCCGCAUUCCAGUCGGCGGGAGAGACGAAGAAGGUCAUCAUCCACCCGACGGACGACACCGCUGCCCCGACGAACAUCUCCACCACCCUCGAUCCUAAAUAGAAGCCGAGCUCACCCGAUUCCUCCGUGAGAACUGGGACAUCUUCGCAUGGAAACCCUCUGACAUGCCAGGUGUACCCACGGAGUUGGCUGAGCACCGACUGCAUGUGGAUCCCACCGCUCGGCCUGUCCGAGAACGUCUGCGUCGAUCCGCCACGCACAAGAGGAAGGCAAUCGGGGAAGAGGUGGCCAAGCUUUUGGCAGCCAACUUCAUUCGCGAGGUUCACCACUCCGAGUGGCUCGCCAAUGUUGUCAUGGUGCCCAAAAAGGACAAGUCGCUCCUAAUGUGCAUCGACUUCAAACAUCUCAAUAAGAUCUGCCCGAAAGACCAUUUUCCGCUCCCCCGCAUCGAUCAAAUUGUCGAUUCGACUGCGGGUUGCGAGCGUUUGUCAUUUCUUGAUGCCUACUCGGGCUAUCAUCAGAUCCGUUUGUAUGGCCCCGAUGAAUUAAAAACAGCCUUUAUCACCCCAUUCGGGUGCUUCUGCUACAUCACUAUGCCAUUCGGUUUGAAGAAUGCAGGAGCUACCUUUAUGCGCAUGAUCCAAAACUGCCUCCUCGACCAGAUCGGUCGGAAUGUGGAGGCGUAUAUGGAUGAUAUCGUAGUCAAGUCACGCAAAGGUUCCGACCUGCUGACUGAGUUGGCAGAAACAUUCGCCAACCUUCGUAGGUACGAUAUCAAGAUCAACCCCGCCAAGUGUUCAUUCGGCGUUCCGAGCGGAAAGUUACUCGGUUUCUUCGUUUCCGAACGAGGGAUCGAUGUCAACCCCGAAAAGAUCAGGACCAUCGCCCGAAUGGAGAGGCCGGUCAAAAUACACGAUGUUCAACGGCUCACAGGUUGCCUAGUGGCUUUGAGCAGGUUUAUCAAUCGACUCGGUGAGAAAGCACUUCCUCUGUACCGACUCAUGAAGAAAUCAGAUACUUUCGAGUGGAAAGAUGAAGCCCAAGUUGCAUUCAACGACCUCAAAGUCCUACUUUCCACCCAGCCGGUUCUUACUGCUCCGCUCAGUAAAGAGACCCUUCUUGUCUAUAUCGCGGCUACAAAUCAAGUCGUCAGCACUGUUCUUACAGUCGAACGAGAAUAAGAAGGCAAAGCAUACAAAGUUCAGCGGCUAGUGUAUUACGUCUCCGAAGUCCUGACUCCUUCCAAGCAGAGGUAUCCCCACUAUCAAAAACUUAUCUACGGGAUUUACAUGACUGCGAAGAAGGUGGCCCAUUAUUUCCAAGACCAAUCGGUGUCUGUCGUUUCUGAUGCUCCGUUGUCGGAAAUCCUCCAUAAUCGGGACGCAUCGGGCCGAGUGGCGAAGUGAGCAAUGGAGAUGUUGUACUGCGAUAUCAAGUUCGAGGCGAAGAAAGCUAUAAAGUCUCAAGCUCUGGCUGACUUCAUAGUAGAAUGGGUAGAACAACAGCAACCGACCCACAUCUACUCGACUCAUUGGACAAUGUUCUUCGAUGGGUCCAAGAUGUUGAAUGGCUCCAGCGCUGGCGUUGUGAUCGUAUCGCCAAAGGGCGACAAACUCAAGUAUGUGCUGCAGAUACACACUGAUUCCUCCAACAAUGAGGCAGAGUAUGAAGCUCUCCUUUAUGGACUGCGCAUGGCCAUCGCACUCGGCUUUCGUCGCCUGAUGGUCUAUGGCGAUUCGGAUUUGGUGGUUAAUCAAGUGAUGAAAGAGUGGGACGUCAGGAACCCCACCAUGACCACAUACUGCAAUGCAGUGAGGAAGCUCGAGAAGAAGUUUGAAGGUCUAGAGCUCCACCAUGUUCCGCGACUGAAGAACCAAGCAGCUGAUGAGUUGGCAAAACUCGGAUUCACUCGGAGACCAGUCCCGAGUGACGUCUGCCUCGAGCACCUCCACCUUCCCUCAGUCAAAGAAGAUCCUUUCACAGACGAACAAGUACAACCAAAGAGCUCGACAGAUCCGACUGAAGUCAACGUACCUGCUAUGGUUGAUCUGAUCAUGGAGAUUCUUGCUGUCAUCCCCGAUUGGACUGUGCCGAUCAUUGCAUAUAUCCUGAGGCAGGAAUUACCAGAAGACGAAGUCCAAGCCAGGCAGAUAGUCCGCAGGUCGAAGUCGUUCACUGUCAUUGGUGGUCAGUUGUACAAGGAAAGCGUUUCAGGCGUUCUUCAACGAUGCAUCUCCCCAGAGGAGGGACAGUUAAUCCUGGAAGAAAUUCACUCGGGAACCUGCGGUCAUCACGCCUAUUCGAGAGCAAUCGUCGCCAAAGCAUUCAGAGUUGGCUUCUUCUGGCUACACGCAAACGAAAUGGCUAAAGAUAUGGUCGAUCGAUGUGAAGGCUGUCAGUUCUACUCCAACAAGUCCCACAAGCCAACAUCUACGUUGAAGACAAUCCCUCUUGUGUGGCCGUUUGCAGUGUAGGGAUUAGAUACAGUCGGUCCAUUCAGGACAGGCCAAGGAGGAUACACACAUCUGUUGGUGGCAGUCGACAAGUUCACAAAAUGGAUUGAAGCCAAGCCCAUCAAGAAGCUCGACGCCCUAACAGCCAUCAAGUUUGUCAGGGACAUCAUCUCUAGAUUCGGGGUACCUCACAGCAUAAUCACGGACAACGGGACAAACUUUGACUCGGACAGAUUCAAAGGUUUCUAUGCAAGCCAAGGUAUCCGAGUGGAUUUUGCAUCCGUAGCACGUCCUCAAACAAACGGACAAGCAGAGCGGGCGAAUGGACUUAUUCUGCAAGGUUUGAAGCCUCGACUCCUGCGAGAGGUGGGACAUGCCGCUGGCGCAUGGGUCACCGAGCUACCUUCAGUGCUUUCGGGUCUCCGCACAACCCCGAACAGAUCUACAGGGCGAUCAUCGUUCUUCCUCGUUUACGGAGCAGAAGCAGUCCUUUCGAGUGACUUGCUUCACAAUGCUCCACGAGUUGAAGUCUUCUCCAAAGCUAAAGCAGAACAAGCAAGGCAAGACGGAGUGGACCUUCUAGAGGAGGAGCGCGAGAUGGCGCUGACUCGCUGAACCAUUCAUCAACAAGAUCUGCAGCGCUUUCACGCACGACAUGUCAGGAGUCACACGUUCCAAGCAGGCGACCUGGUCCUCCGAGUGGAUCAGCAAAGACCUCACAAGUUGGCUCCUGCCUGGGAAGGACCCUUCAUCAUCUCCAAGGUGCUGAACAACGGAGCAUACAGACUCUACAACAUCGACAGGGAGACAGACGAGCCGCGAGCAUGGAACGGAGAUCUCCUGAAGCGCUUCUACAUGUGACAGUCGACUGAAGCAAUGUAAAGAACAAAUAUUGGUGAAAUAAUAUAAAGCAGAUUGAGCUUUUGCAGAUUCAAAAUUCUUCCGUGGUCGCAGACUCCGGUCUCAAAAAAAACUUAGCUGCGAUCAAGAAUCGCCUAAGUACUGACUUUCUGUGAGUGUGCACUAAACGUCGCACUCGGAGACUUAGCUGCGAUCCAGAAUCGCCUAAGUACUGACUUUCUGUGAGUGUGCACUAAACGUCGCACUCGGAGACUUAGCUGCGAUCCAGAAUCGCCUAAGUACUGACUUUCUCCGAGUGUGCAAUAAACAUCGCACUCCGGGACUUAGCUGCGAUCAAGAAUCGCCUAAGUACUAACUUUCUCCGAGUGUGUACUAAACGUCGCACUCGGGGACUUAGCUGCGAUCAAGAAUCGCCUAAGUACUGACUUUCUCCGAGUGUGCACUAAACGUCGCACUCGGGGACUUGGCUGCGAUCAAGAAUCGUCUAAGUAUUGACUUUCUCAGAGUGUGCACUAAACGUCGCACUCGGGGACUUAGCUGCGAUCAAGAAUCGCCUAAGUACUAACUUUCUCCGAGUGUGCACUAAACGUCGCACUCGGGGACUUGGCUGCGAUCAAGAAUCGCCUAAGUAUUGACUUUCUCAGAGUGUGCACUAAACGUCGCACUCGGGGACUUAGCUGCGAUCAAGAAUCGCCUAAGUAAUAACUUUCUCUGAGUGUGCACUAAACGUCGCACUCGGGGACUGAGCUGCGAUUAAGAAUCGCCUCAGUACAAAUUUUCUCCGAGCGUGCACUACUCGUCACACUCGAAGACUUAACUGCGAUCAAGAAUCGCUUAAAUGAGAAAGCUUCCUGCGACUGUAUCCUACAGAUACACUCGGGGACUCAGCAGACCCUCAUUGAGGCUCAUGUGGAUGUCAAGACCACUGACAAUUACAUGAGUAGCAGACCCUCAUUGAGGCUCAUGUGGAUGUCAAGACCACUAACAAUUACAUGGGUAGCAGACCCUCAUUGAGGCUCAUGUGGAUGUCAAGACCACUGACAAUUACAUGAGUAACAACCCGCUCCGAGUACGACCUUACAGUCGCACUCAAGGAUUUAGCUGCGAUCACGAAUCGCCUAACUACUCAGAUGCAUUCGACUGUAUCCCACAGAUACACUCGGGGACUCAACAGAACCUCAUUGAGACUCAUGUAGAUGUCAAGACCACUGACAAUUACAUGAGUAGCAGAACCUCAUUGAGGCUCAUGUAGAUGUCAACACUACUGACAAUUACAUGAGUAACAACUCAAUCCGAGUGCGGCCUGACAGUCGCACUCGAAGACUUAGCCGCGAUCAUGAAUCGCCUAAGUACUCUAUUGCCUUCGAGUGUAUCCUACAGAUCCACUCGGAGAAUCAGCACACCCUCAGGGAGGCUCAUGCAGAUGUCAAGACAAGUGACAAUUACAUGCUCCGCAUGUUUGCCAUUGGCUUCACCAAGAAACACCAAACAAAAAAUCGAGCCAAAAUCGUAUCAACAACUCUUUGGCAACAGAAGAGCAAAAGAUUUGAUUCAAAUUCAAAGUUCACCUAAAGAUAGUUGGCUCGGUGUGGAUCAAGCUUACCCGCACCGAGCCAAGAAUGUGACGGCCAACAGCAGUGGCCAAAGUUUCUUACAACCAACACUCGGCAUACCGAGGUAAAAGUUUUCUUAAGCGUCGUCCGGACUGGCGCUAGGACUGGCGGGCUCUACGAAUGUGUCCAGGUCGAUCCCGUCGGCGAUGCGGGUGGCGCUCUCAAGGAAGGUUUCCAUGAAGUCUUCGAAUCGAAGUUUCUUCGUGUUGGCGACCUGCAACGCUUUUAGCUUCUCUUCGCGCACCUCCUUGCAAUGCACUCGGACCAGAGACAAAGCAACGUCCGCACCACAGCGAGCCGCAGACUUCUUCCAUGACUGCACUCGGUUUGGGACCUGCUCCAGCCGAGUCAUCAAGCCUUCCAUCUCAUGCCGAGACUCGUCCUCAGGCCAAAGCUCCUUGUCGAUCCGGCUGACGACUUCUCUCAGUCGACCGAUGAAAGGCCCAACUUUGCCCAGGCGAAUGUGCGCUCAGAGCAGAUCUCGAUUGGCGUCCUUGCCGAGUGGAAUGUUCUCAAGAAUCGACCGCUCAACGUCAGCUGCUUCAGCCUUAGCGUCCAUGCAAAAAUCUGCAAAGACAGGACAAGCAAACAAUAAGCGCCGAGUGAAAUGCACAUACCACAAGCACUCGGAAAAAUAGGACUUACCACCCAGAAGCGUUAUCAUCUGCCGGGCCCAGUCACUGACGUAUUUUUCCUGCGCUAUACACCGCAUGUUCAGCACUUUCAUUUGUCCCAUCAUCUCGGACCUAUGCGCCUUCAUUUUCUCCACUUCAGCAGUCAAUGCCUUGUUUGCUUCACGGGCCUGCUCCAAGAACUUCUCUCGUUCCGCCAGAACAUCCUUCAUACCAGCCAUUGCAACCAUUGCCGCAUCCAGCUCACCAGCAAACUGAACCUUUUCAGCCCUAAGAGUCUCGUACGAUGUCCCCAUCUCAUAAGUUUUCUGCCAGCCAGCGCCAAGAGACGAUCAGACAACUCCAACAAUAAAAAGUCUAAGUUCUUCAGACCCCUGCCGAUGCAAGCAGUCGACAGCGGUCUCGGGGACUACACCCAGUGGGUUCACUGAGAGUGACCCCACUGGCAUGAAACUCAAACAGUUCCGCCCUAUUGAGCUACAUGACAACACCUAAGCCUAUGAGGCUACUACUACCCGACCUGAGUAAAAUUACUCUCGGGAACUCAUCCAGUAGGUGCACUCCGAGUGCCCCAACUGUUAGCAUUCGAACAGAUUAAUUUUUGAUCUGAUCAAGUCAAAGACAAUGUGUAUAAAGACAACUGCCGGUGCAAGGACUUGACAGAAGUCUCGGGGACUACACCCACUGGGUUCACUAAGAGUGAACCCAUUGCAAAAAUCAUACGAUAUCCGAGCACACCCAGUGGAUUACAAGAGAAAAGUAAAUACUUACUAGCCCACUUACUCGGAUAUCGUCCCGCAGUUCCAAGCUUCGCUGGUACAGGGACGCGAUGGAGUUGUACACCUUCUUGGCCUCUCCCGCCAUUAGCUCCGCCUGCACCAUGGCCCCCUUGGCCGCUCCCAUCUGAUCUUCCGGGAGGCGCUGGACGUUGUACUCGACAUUCGACGGGCCUGGCAUCGUUGGAGGCUCCUUGGGCAUCCCAAGGCCCGCUCCAGUCGAUUCAGCAGCAACCAGCGUCGUUUCAGUCGACGGCAUCGCCUUAGUCGGCGGCACGUCUGCGGCGAGAGCAGUAACCGGCAGAACAGCCUCAAGGACAGGCACCGCAGCUUGCUCAGACCUUCCCUGCUCACCCUCAUCCACAUAAAUCGCCCCUGAGAGAAACCCGACCGAACGGCGUGAGAUCACAGAAAAAAAAGGCAAGACCGAAGACAGAAUUCGUGAUGCAAUAAUGUAAACUCUCGGAAUCGCUACGACGCACCUGGCUGGGACGAGACGACAUUGUCCAUGUCCAUGGGAUCAUCCCCCUGGCGUGCCGAAGAGGUGGCAGAGGUAGCAACUCUGUCGUGUGAAAUUCAUUCGACCAAUAAGAAGGAGUUCAAUCGAAUAUCGGAAGAAGUUAGAAGAACAAUGCACUUACGUUGAGGUGACGGGAACGGUGACCCUCAUCCGCGGCAAAGCCUUCCGAGGUUUUGAUCCGCUCGGUUUGGCCACCUUGGAAGGCUGACCCGUAGGCUCAGCAGCAGCGUCCCUGGUCUUCUUGGUGCUCCGAGCACUCGGAACCACGGGAACAGUUGACGGGGCGCUCGGAACCGUAGGAGCAGUUGGCGGGGCACUCGAGGAUGCUAGAGGGGCCGAGGGAGCUGCAGGUUCAUGUAGGCGCUUGGUUCGAUGAUCUGGCGGCGGGGGUGGCGAGUUCUGCUCUUCGUCUUCCUCCUCCUCUUCACCAGACUCCUCCUCCGUCUCCCCACUGUCGGAGACGUACUCGACGCUCUCCACGCUGCCCUCCUGGCUGCCCUCCUCCUCCUCCUCGGCCGGGUUCCCAUUCGAGACACGAGAGAACCAGUUGGUCCACUUCUGCAUAAAAUACAGUCGGCGACAUCAGACGUCAGGCGGAGAUUCAAGAAAGCGAUAAAACUAAGACAGUUAUGUGCACUCGACAAGUUGUACUCACCUCGUUCGGAGGAGGGUUGUCCGCGCAGAAAGCCCUCACUCGUCGGGACCCUCUGGGGUUCUCGCAGGCGCCUGUGAUCUGGAGCACCCACGACGCCACCGUCUCCCCGGUCACGCACACGACGUUGGUCCGAGUGGAGUCUUCGGGCCCCGUGUAGUGCCACAUGGCGUGGUCUCGGGCCUGCAGUGGUUGGAUGCGCCGAUCGAGGAAAACCUCCAGCAAAUCUAUGCCGGUGACUCCCUUUCUGACGACAUCUACGAGUGCGUCGACCAGAGGCUGGAUAUGGAUCUUCUCCGCCUUCGUGAGCACGAGCUGCUUAGGCGGAGCUGGUCGAUCUAAGCUAAAAGGAGGCAACCCUGUCGUGGCAUUCGGGCAAGCAACGUCCUGGCAGUAGAACCAUGUCUACUGCCAGUUCCUAACCGAUUCACUCAGCUGAAGAGCGGGAUAACUACUUUUGCUCUUCUUUUGGAAGGCUAAGCCCCCGCAGAGCUGGAGAAGGUGAGUCUUAUCAUCUGACUGGUUAAGUCGUUUGAUAGUUUGGGAUCUAGCAGAGAAAAUAUGUUUGAAAAGCCCCCAAUGGGGAGGACAGCCGAUGAAGCACUCGCACAAGACUACGAAAGCAGAGAGAUGAGCUAUGGCAUUCGGGGGAAAGUGGUGGAGCUGCGCCCCGAAGUGGUUCAUUAUGCCUUUGAAGAAAGGAUGUGGGGGCAGGGAGAAACCUCGAUGCACGUGGCUGAGCAGCAGGACGCGCUCCCCCUCCCGGGGCGCCGGCUCGGUCUCACCCUCCGCCGCAGCCUCCACGACUUGUGCACGAUCAUCCCGUGCUCCACCAGCUCCAGCAGGUCCUCCUCCGUCACCGUGGAAGGGAGGAAGACCCCCUGGAUCCACCCCGCCGGUAGCGUUCGCUGCCUCCACUGAGCGGGAGCCGCCGCCUUCCCCCUCUUCUUCCGCGCCUCUAGCUUGCUGGUCUGCCCCUUUGUCAUGGCGGAAGCUGCGGAUUCGCGAGAGAGAAGGAGAAGGAAGAAGCUUGGGGUGCGUAGAGGAUGGCGAAAGAAGCGGAGCAAAGGCAAGAUAUCCGGCGAGCGUAACGAAAAAACCCUCGCCGCUGAGGUUUAAGUAAGGUUCCGACUGGGUCACUGGAAAGUGGCCCCGAAAUCUUAUCCCCCGACCGGCCGCGGCGAUAUCAGUGGAGAAGAUGAAGGCGUGGGAAUCGAGGCGUCAGGUACUACUCGAGCGCGAUGUCGUCAUCCCCGCUGAGCGCGCGGUAACCGAAAUUUGAGGAUCCCGGAAAAUCCGCCGCUGUCAGUUGACUGGUCACGUCAGAAGAUACCACGGAAGCACUCGGUUUCUGACAGCUUGUUUCACAAAUACUUCCAGUCGGAUCGUUGGUCAGAAAAUAUAAAAUGGAUCGAGGCAAGCAACGCCAAAGUCGCAUCCAUACCAGUCGGAUCCAAACUUCAAGCAUCGCUUCGUCGUUCCAACCCCCAAUCCACUCGGGGACUAAUGAUGGGGUUAUAGUCCUAGGGUAGGGUCAUAGGCGUGCCCUGUAGGUCCUACCCAUCCCUCAUAAGGGACAAGGCCCUUAGUCAGUUCCGACUGAACUAAGAAGUUCCCAUCAUCCAGUCGGUAACAGAUCCUCGACCAUCCAGUCGGAGACGAGCAUUCGGAGUAUAUCAAACUAACCGCCUGGAUUCCACUCUAUGCAUCGUAACCCCCCUGGAGGGAAAUGGUCAUACGUUUCCAUGUGCCUUUAUUAGCAUUUAAGACGUACGUUACCUGUAACGUAGGCAUUUAUUCGCCACUACUCCAUCCCUGUGCACCGAACCGUUGUGGAGGGCAGCGCACUCUAUAUAAGCCACCCUCCCCCACUGGUGCAGGGGUUAACAAUUCACUAUAUUCCAUAUUCCACUUGACAACAAGCUCCCAGAGCACUGACACGUAGGGCUAUUACCUCCACCGCAGAGGAGCCUGAACUCAUACAACCUCGCCAUAGCUAAGGCUUUGCCCAUCCUUUCGUACCCUACACAUCUACUGUCAGACUUAUACCCCCGACAAUCCCAAAAGUAGUGUCUCAAGUCAAAGAAGAAUUUCUUCUUUUGCUGGUACGUGAAACUAGGUGGUAUGUAUUUGGCAACGAUAUAGUUUGCGUAAUCAGCAUACCACGGUGCACUACGCGAGGCAUUGAUGACAUUCAGUUGCUCACCGGGAAAGCUAUCAUCAAUAGGUUGUGGGUCAUUAAAAACAUUCUCCAACCUAGACAAGUUAUCUGUUACGGGGUUAUCAGCACCCUUCCUGUCGACAACGUGCAAAUCAAAUUCUUGUAGCAAGAGAACCCAUCUAAUAAGUCUAGGUUUAGCGUCCUUCUUCUCCAUGAGGUACUUAAUAGCAGCAUGAUCAGUGUGAAUAGUGACUUUGGAAUCAACUAUGUAAGACCUGAACUUUUCACAUGCAAAUACGACUACUAAAAAUUCCUUCUCCGUAGUAGCAUAGUUUCUCUGGGCACUGUCUAGAGUUUUACUAGCGUAGUGAAUAACAUUCAAUUUCUUAUCAACUCUUUGCCCUAGGACAGCACCAACGGCAUAAUUGCUAGCAUCACACAUGAUUUCAAAAGGCAAGUUCCAAUCAGGUGGUUGAACAAUAGGUGAAGUUAUCAAAGCCCUCUUAAGUAUUUCGAAGGCUUCCUCACAAUCAUCGUCAAAGACAAAAGGAAUAUCCUUUUUCAAGAGAUUGGUAAGAGGCCUAGAAAUCUUAGAGAAGUCUUUAAUGAACCUUCUAUAGAAACCAGCAUGACCAAGGAAACUUCUUAUACCUUUGAUAUCUAUGGGGUAUGGCAUUUUCUCGAUUGCAUCAACCUUAGCCUUGUCGACUUCAAUACCUCUUUCAGAAAUUUUAUGUCCUAAGACGAUGCCUACAUUAACCAUAAAGUGGCACUUCUCCCAAUUCAAGACAAGAUUGGUGUUUUUACAUCUCUGCAAGACCCGAUCAAGGUUGCUGAGGCAAUCAUCAAAAGAAGACACGUAAACGAAGAAGUCAUCCAUGAAAACCUCAACAAUCUUUUCACAAAAGUCAGAGAAUAUAGACAUCAUACAUCUUUGAAAGGUGGCAGGUGCAUUACAUAAGCCAAAAGGCAUACGUCUAUAAGCAAAGGUACCGAAAGGGCAGGUGAAAGUGGUUUUCUCCUGAUCAGAUUGUGCAACUGGUAUUUGGGAGAAACCAGAAUAGCCGUCUAGAAAUAAGAAGUGUGUGUGUUUAGACAGUCUUUCUAGCAUUUGGUCGAUAAAAGGCAGAGGGUAAUGAUCUUUCCUAGUGGCCUUAUUUAGUUUCUUGAAAUCGAUCACCAUCCUAUAGCCAGUAAUAAUCCUCUGUGGGAUCAAUUCAUCCUUAUCAUUAGGGACAACGGUAAUGCCUCCCUUCUUAGGGACGCAAUGCACCGGACUCACCCAAUCGCUAUGAGCAACAGGAUAGAUAAUACCCGCUUCCAGGAGCUUUAUUACUUCUUUUCUCACUACUUCUUUCAUCUUAGGAUUCAAUCUCCUUUGAUGAUCAGCAACUGGUUUGAAGUCAGGAUCAGUUUUAAUCUUGUGCUGGCAUAGAGUGGGAGUAAUGCCCUUAAGAUCAUCAAGAGUAUAUCCAAUAGCAACACGGUGCUUCCUCAGAGUUUUUAGUAACUUCUUUUCUUCAUGCUCUAAGAGGCUAGCACUUAUAAUGACAGUAUAUAUCUCCUUUUCAUCAAGAUAGGCAUACUUAAGAGUAUCACGCAACUGUUUAAGCUCGAACACAUGAUCACCCUAUGGUGGGGGUGGAUCUCCAAGCAGUUCAACAGACAAGUUAUUCUUAAGGAUAGGAUAUUGUUCUAAAAUAACUCUAUCUAUUUCAUCCCUUUCAUCCAUAUGCAUAUCAUUUUCAUGCUCAAGCAAGUAUUGCUCUAAGGGAUCAGUAGGAGGCACGGCAAUAGAAGCUAAGGCAAUAGUUUCAUCCUUACUAGGCAACUCCUUUUCAUGAGGUUGUCUACCAAACUUGGAGAAAUUGAACUCAUGUGACACACCUUCAAAGCCAAUAGUGACAAUUUGCUUCUCACAGUCAAUAUGAGCAUUGACGGUAUUGAGAAAAGGUCUACCAAAUAUGAUGGGACAAAAGCUAUCUUGUGCGGUAGCAAGAACGAGGAAAUCAGCAGGAUACUUCGUUUUACCACACAAGACUUCAACAUCCCUAACAAUUCCCACAGGACAGAUAGUAUCUCUAUUGGAAGCUGAAUAGUGACAUCAAUAGGCUCUAUCUCAACAGGUGCAAUCUCAUCUUUGAUUUCAUCAUAUAAGGAUUGUGGUAUUGCACUAACACUAGCACCCACGUCAGAUAAACCAUGAUAACAAUGAUCUCCUAACUUAACAGAAACCACAGGCAUGCCAACAACAGGCCUAUGUUUGUCUCUAGCAUGAGGUUUAUCAAUUCUAGCAGCAACUUCACAGAAGUGAAUAUUAUGUCCCUCAACAUCGUGGGACAUAAGAUCUUUGAUGAUAGCAAUGCUAGGUUCAACUCUAAUUUGCUCAGGGGGUGUAGGUGUUCUAAUGUAGCCUCUACGUAUCACAGUUGAAGCUUUAGAAUGAUCCUUUAUCCUAACAGGGAAAGGUGGUUUCUCAAUGUAAGCACUGGGAACCACAAGAUCAUUAUAGGCAAUGACGUUCUCUUCAACUGGAGUGGGUUUAACUACAUUGACUUCUAAAGGAGGAUGAUAUUUAAACCACUUCUCUUUGGGGAGAUCAAUAUGGGCAGCAAAGUAUUCACACAAUGAAGCUACUAUCUCAGAGUCAAGUCCAUACUUAGCGCUAAAGUCACAAAAACUAUUUGUCUCAGCAAAGGAUUUAACGCAAUCAAAAGUGAAAUUCAUACCUGACUCCUUACCUUCUUAAAGCUCCCAAUCUUCAGAGUUCAGUUUAAUUCUCUCCAAUAAAUUCCAUUUGAAGUCAAUAUCUCUCUUCAUAAAAGAACUGGUACAAGAAGUGUCAAGCAUGGUGCGAUCAUCAUGAGAAAGCCGAGCAUAGAAGUUUUGAAUGAUAAUUUCUCUCGAGAGCUCAUGAUUGGGGCAUGAAUAUAGCAUUGAUUUAAGCUUCCCCCAAGCUUGAGAGAUGCUUUCUCUGUCACGAGGCCAAAAAUUAUAAAUAUAAUUCCGAUCACGAUGUACUAAAUGCAUAGGAUAAAACUUUUGAUGAAAUUCCAAUUUCAACUCAUUGUAGUCCCAUGAUCGAGUAUCAUAACAUAGCCUAUACCAUGUCAAUGCCUUAUCCUUCAAAGAUAAAGGAAAGACCUUCUUCUUGACCUCAUCCUCGGUUAAACCUGCAAGCUUAAAUAAACCACAAACUUCAUCAACAUAGAUUAGAUGCAAGUCUGGAGGUGAUGUUCCAUCUCCUGUAAAAGGAUUAGCCAGCAGUUUCUCAAGCAUACCCGAAGGAAAUUCAAAGCAAAAAAUUUCAGUAGGUGCAACAGGUUGAGGAGCAACUCUUUGUGCUUCCGUUCGAGGUGAAGAUAGCCCGAACAAGCCCCUCAAAGGAUUAGUAUCCAUAGUGACAAGUGACAACAAAUUUCAGCACACUAUAUGAAUGUUUCCUUACCAAGUUCCACUUACCAAAGGCGCUUCACUCCCCGGCAACGGCACCAGGAAUCCUUCUGCUACGACUACGCCUUUAUGGACUUCCUUGGCAGAUAUGCAAAGGAUCCCCCCGUGGCCUUGGAGCCUUGUGUUGGUGUUCCCUCGAAGCGGAAAGGGUGAUGUAGCACAGCGGCGGUAAGUAUUUCCCUCAGUUUUGAGAACCAAGGUAUCGAUCCAGUGAAGGAUUGCGUCAAGUCACAAGUACCUUCACAAACACAAAGAGCUUGCACCCAACGCUAUGAAGGGGUUGUCAAUCCCUUAUAGAUUGUUUGCAAAGUGAGAACUGAAAGCAAAAAAGGAAACAAAGCAAAGUAAAAGUGAAAGUGGAAACGAUAGUUGUGAAUAGACCCGGCGGUCGUAGUGUUCACUAGUGGCUUCUCUCAUGAAAGCAAGUAGACGGUGGGUGAACGAAUUACUAUCGAGCAAUUGAUAGAACCGCGCAAAGUCGUGACAUUAUCUAUGGCAAUGAUUAUUUCUAUAGGCAUCACGUUCAAAACAAGUAGACCGAUACUUUCUGCAUCUACUACUAUUACUCCACACGUCAACCAUUAUCCAGCAUGCAUCUAGUGUAUUAAGUUCAUGAGAACAGAGUAAUGCCUUAACCAAGAUGACAUGAUGUAGAUGGACAAUCUCAUAUCUACGAUAAAAGCCCAUCUUGUUACCUUUGAUGGCAACAACACGAUGUGUGCCUUGCUGCCCCUUCUGUCACUAGGAAAGGUCACCACACGGUAUGAACCCAAAACCAAGCACUUCUCCCAUUGCAAGAAUCAUAGAUCUAGUUGGCCAAACAAAACCCAAGACUCAGAGAGACUUACAAGGAUAUCAAAUCAUGCAUAUAAGAAAUCAGCAAAGACUCAAAUAUAAUUCAUAGAUAAUCUGAUCACAAAUCCACAAUUCAUCGAAUCUCGACAAACACACCGCCAAAUAGGAUUACAUUGGAUAGAUCUCCAUGAAGAUCAUGGAGAACUUUGUAUUGAAGAUCCAAGAGAGAGAAGAAGCCAUCUAGCUACUAACUAUGGACCCGUAGAUCUGAAGUGAACUACUCACGAGUCAUUGGAGGGGCAAUGAUGUUGAUGAAGAAGCCCUCCAGCUCCAAAGUCCCCUCCGUCAGGGCACCGGGAAGGGCCUCCAGAUGAGAUCUCGCGGAAACGGAAGCUUGCGGCGGCGGAAAAGUGUUUUUGUGGAUACCCUGAUUUUUUCUGGGAUUUUAGGCCAAAGAUCUAGGGCAGGGGAGCGCCAGGGAGGCCACAAGCCUGGUAGCCGCCGCCCCCUGGUGGCGGCUACAGGGCUUGUGGGCUCCCUGUGGGCCCUCUGCCUUGGCCCUCAAGCCUCCCGAUCUUCUUCCGUUCUGGAAAGAUUUAUAUCGGGGAUUUUAUUCUGUUUGGACUCCGUUCCAAAAUCAGAUCUAAAAAGAGUAAAAACAGAGAAAAAACAGGAACUGGCACUUGGCACUGAAUUACUAAGUUAGUCCCAAAAAAGAUAUAAAAGGUAUAUAAAACAUCCAAAGUUGACAAGAUAACAGCAUGAAACCAUAAAAAAUUAUAGAUACGUUUGAGGCGUAUAAAUGACCCAUAAGUAUAGGGAAUCAAUCGUACUCCUUUCGAUAAGUAAGAUUGUUGAACCCAACGAGGAGCAGAAGGAUCUGACAAGUGGUUUUCAGCAAGGUAAAAUCUGCACGCACUGAAAUUGUCGGUAACAGGUGAUUGUGUGGUGAGAUGAUUCGUAGCAAGCAACAAGUAACAAAAGUAGCAACGGUGCAGCAAAGUGUCCCAAUCCCUUUUGUAGCAAGGGACAAGCCUGGACAAAGUCUUAUAGGCGGAAAAACGCUCCCGAGGACACACGGGAAUUUCUGUCAUGCUAGUUUUCAUCUUGUUCAUAUGAUUUGCGUUCGUUCCUUUGAUAGUUUGAUAUGUGGGUGGACCGGCGCUUGGGUACUGCCUUUACUUGGACAAGCAUCCCACUUAUGAUUAACCCCUCUCGCAAGCAUCCGCAACUACGAAAGAAGAAUUGAGACAAAGUCUAACCAUAGCAUUAAACUAGUGGAUCCAAAUCAGCCCCUUGCGAAGCAACGCAUAAACUAGGGUUUAAGCUUCUGCCACUCUAGCAACCCAUCAUCUACUUACUACUUCCGAAUGCCUUCCUCUAGGCCCAAAUAAUGGUGAAGUGUUAUGUAGUCGAUGUUCACAUAACACCACUAGAGGAAAAACAACAUACAACAUUUCAAAUUACCGAACGAAUACCAAAUUCACAUGACUACUAUUAGCAUGACUUAUCCCAUGUCCUCAGGAACAAAAGUAACUACUCACAAAGCAUAAACAUAUUCAUGACCAGAGUGGUAAUGAGUAGCAUCAAGGACCUCAACAUAAACUCUUCCACCAAGUAAUCCAACUAGCAUCAACUACAAAGAGUAAUCAACACUACUAGCAACCUUACAAGUACCAAUCGGAGUCGCGAGACGGAGAUUGGUUACAAGUGAUGAACUAGGGUUUGGAGAGGAGAUGGUGCUGAUGAAGAUGUUGAUGGUGACGAGUCCCCUCCGAUGAGAGGAGUGUUGGUGAUGAUGAUGGCGACGAUUUCCCCCUCCGGGAGGGAAGUUUCCCUGGCAGGAUCGUCCUACUGGAGAUCUAGAUUGGUUCCGCUCAACUUCCGCCUCGUGGCGGCGGCGAAUCCACGAAAAUGCUCCUCCUUGAUUUUUUCCUGGAUGAAACCCUUCAUAUAGCAGAAGAGGGGGGCAAGUGGUAUAGCAGGUUGCCCACAAGCCCUCCUGGCGCGGCCUGGGGGGUGGUCGCGCCGUGCAGGCUUGUGGCCAACCCCUGGCGCCCCUCUGCCGCUUCUUCGGCCCGGUAUUUUUCAUAAAUCUGGAAUAAAAUCCUCGUUGAUUUUUAUGGUGUUUGGAGUUGCGCAGAAUAGGUAUCUCAAACUUGCUCCACUUUCAGGCGAGAAUUCCAGUUGCCGACAUUCUCCCUCUUCAUGUAAACCUUGCAAAAUAAGAGAGAAAAGGCAUAAGAAUUGUAUCGUGAAGUGAAAUAACAACCCAAAAAGCGAUAAAUAUUGACAUGAAAACAUGAUGCAAAAUGGACGUAUCAAGCCCCUUUUUCUUUUUCUUUUUAAUCUAUUUCUAAAAGAUUUUUGCAGAGUUUAAUAUUUAAUCAAAUUUAAAUAUUUUUCCACCACAAUUCUUCUAAAAAUUUGUAGAAUUUAUUAGUGUUGUUGCACUAUUUUUAUAAAGACUUUUCUGCAUAGCUAUAAUUAAAAUGCUUAUUUUUAAUCCUUUAGAUCCUGUCAAUUGGAUUUUAAAAUAAUAUUUUCAUCAAAACCAGAGACAAAUAUUUUUAAAACUUUAAACAAUAUUUAUCAAAAUAGGAUAACAUUUUUAAAGUGAGUUUGUGCUUUGUUUUUGAAUGUGCUUCUUAUUAUUAUUACGACGAUAGAUUCCGCGUUGGUCGAAGGACUUGGACCCGAAGACUCCGGAUACCUAGCUGAUCAAGGAAAACAGCCCUUUGACCAUGUUUGAGAAGAAUAUUUAUUGCAUGCCAAGUAUAGUAAUAUUCCCGUUGCAUAUGGUCAUAAGUAUUCGGUAACCAUCGAUGUGGUGUUAUCGAUGGCUCCUCUGGAGCACUUGCAUUGAGCAUGAUCCUACCACCUAUGAGGGUCACGCUGAUAUUAUGUUGACAAGUAGACAUUAGUGCUACGCAUUGUAGAAGCAUAAGCAUGAUGAUGGUAAAGUUGUGAUCGAAGGUUUUACAAAUACCCCCAUCGGGUGCCACUAAUGCCGGAGGGUGAUGAUGUUGAGUUGGUGGCCACUUAUGAAGAAGUGGUGCAGCGGGUAUAUUUUGUGUGAGUGGAUUCAGAAACAAGAUUAGAUUUAUGAUGUCGACCAUCCCAACCUUACAUGUACGACCACGAUACCCCUUAUGGGACGGGGCUUUGUUGAUUACUUUGGUCGGUGCUAGCAAAGAGCCACGUUACUAGUGGCGGGAGUGAUAUGUGGUCACUCUCGUGACGGGGUCGUACCAGGAAGGUCGACUAUGCCGUUUUUACGUGUUCCGGGCACACCGUUGGUCUCCGCAUGGAUGAUACGGUCUAGAGUCGAUGCUCGUAAGACUUACAUCAUGUGGUCUGGGUACCAAUUGAGUGAACUCUUUGUCUAGUAUCGUCAGGGGAAAGGCAAUGAUCGGGUACUUACCUCGGGUAUGUUAUAUACCGCGAGUCGUGGAUGACAUGGAAGUUCCCCGGAUCUCGUGGGUACAACGUACAACCUCUGCAGAGUGUAAAACUAUUCGAAUAGCCGUGUCCACGAUCAAGGAUAGUUGGGUAAUCGUGCUUAAACUAUGUCCAGUUGUUUCCGCAUAAACCAAAUGUGUGUGUGUGUGUUCAUAACGUGUUGUGAAGAAGUUGAUAUGGUAAAGUUUGGUGACUUGACAUAUCUGGUGAACCCGAAGAGUUCAGCCCUGAAUAGAUAUAUUAAUAUCUAUAACCUGUUCUUAAAAUUAUCAUCUAGUUCGUAAUGCAUAUCCAUACCAGUAUUUUACCAUGCAUAUUCUUAAGUAAGAUUUUCUUUUCGCAAAGGAUGCAUAUUGCUACGGCAACAAAAGUCCUUCCCAAGUAACGCCGGGAAUUCUUUUUGCUACUUCUCUUGUUUGCAUCGGUUUUUCCCUUGAAGAGGAAAGGGUGAUGCAGCAUAGGAGCAGUAAGUAUUUCCCUCAGUUUGAGCACCAAGGUAUCGAUCCAGAAGGAGAGUCUCGUCAAGUCCAUAGUACGUGCGCAAACACAAACAAGCUUGCAUCCAACGCUUCAAAGGGGUUAUCAAUCCCUCCAAGAUUGUUUGCAAAGUGAGAUCUGAAGGUGGAAAGUGCAACGAAGUAAAAGGUAUAAGGCUGAAAAUAUGGUGUGGAGUAGACUCGGGGGCCAUAGUGUUCACUAGAGUCUUCUCUCAAAAUAGCAAAUAUCACGGUGGGUGAACAAAUUACUGUCGAGCAAUAGAUAGAACCGCGCAAAGUCAUGACGAUAUCUAAGGCAAUGAUCAUACAUAUAGGCAUCACGUCCGAGACAAGUAGACCGAUACUUUCUGCAUCUACUACUAUUACUCCACACAUCAACCGCUAUCCAGCAUGCAUCUAGUGUAUUGAGUUCAUGACGAACAGAGUAGCGCCUUAAGCAAGAUGACAUGAUGUAGAGGGAUAAUCUCAAACCAAUGAUGAAAACACCAUCUUUUUACCCUUGAUGGCAACAACACGAUGCGUGCCUUGCUACCCCUUCUGUCACUGGGUGAGGUCACCGCACGGUAUGAACCCAAAACCAAGCACUUCUCCCAUUGCAAGAAUCAUAGAUCUACUUGGCCAAACAAAUCAACAACUCAAAGAAAAUUACAAGGAUAUGAAAUCAUGCAUAAGAGAGAUCAGAAGAAACUCAAAUAAGAUUCAUAGAUAAUCUGAUCAUAAAUCCACAAUUCAUCAGAUCUCGACAAACACACUACAAAAGAAGAUUACAUCGGAUAGAUCUCCAUGAAGAUCAUGGAGAACUUUGUAUUGAAGAUCCAAGAGAGAGAGAAGAAGCCAUCUAGUUACUAGCUAUGGACCCGUAGGUCUAUGGUGAACUAGUCACGCAUCAUCGGAGUGGUCAUGGUGUUGAUGAAGAAGCCCUCCAUGUCCGAAUCCCCCCUCCGGCAAGGCACCAGAACGUGCCUAGAUGGGAUCUUGUGGAGACAGAAGCUUGCGGCGGCGGAAGUGUGAUUUCGAUGAUCUCCUAAUUUUUUUGGGACUUUUAGGGAAUAUAUAGGUGCAACCCCUAGGGCAGAGGGCGCCCAGGGGGGCCACAAGCCUGUGGGCCGCGGCCUACCCCCCUGGCCGCGGGGUGGGGGCUUGUGGGGCCCUUGAGGCUCCCCUGCCUUGGCUCCCAAGCUUCCCGAUCUUCUUCCGGUACAGAAAAAAUCUUUUCGGUGAUUUUCUUCCGUUUGGACUCCAUUUCAAAAUCUCCUCUGAAAGGGGUCAAAAACAUGGAAAAAACAGGAACUGGCACUUGGCACUAAGUCAAUAAGUUAGUCCCAAAAAAUAUAUGAAAGGCAUGCAAAACAUCCAAAGUUUGACAAGAUAAUAGCAUGAAACCAUCAAAAAUUAUAGAUACAUUGGAGACGUAUCACAUAUCACUUAUAUCAUACAACUGCAUAUCCAUAUGAUGGGUUGUUUGCGAGUACAUUCAAAGUACUCAUUUGGCUUGCCACUAGUUAUGUUAUUGACCGGACAUGGAAGGACCGAAGUUCGGAGAAGAAUUCUUCAUCGGAGACGGACACGCGAUCUAGGACGCUUCCCAGACAGAAUGCCAGUUAGUGAAGGAUGAUGGCAUGGGUUCCCGUUUAUUGCGAAGACUUCCGCUAGUAGAUGUAUUGGUGUGUUUGGCCUUAUAGGCCCUACCUUUGUGAGACUAGACCAUGAUGGUCAUUUGUUGUAUUCAACGGUAUGUAAGGAUGUAAGACUCUUAACAUUCAGUAUCAAUGUGUUCAGUGAGCAUUGAUCUCUGGGAUCACUGAUCACGAUCAUUCGGCGAUCUCGAUUCAUAAGUCGGGGUCCCCACAAGACCUAUGGGUGCAUAGCCAGUACCUAGAUGGCAAUCUCUCUCUCUCUCUCUCGCUCUCUCUCUCUCUCUCUCUCUUUGAUCAUCAAUACAAUGAUCAUCACAUCUUCCCUUUGAUCCAUAUGAUGUCAUUCCUUUUGUGUGGUGUUGUAAGUGCAUCUAGUGCCCCUUAGGCUCGUUUGGCAGGAAGGGAUUGAGGGGGUUUUGAGGGCAUUAUUCCCGCGUGGACUGAAAACCUCUGAAUUCCCUCUCAGCCCAUUUGGUGGACUGGGUUUUCCUGGGCCAGCGACCCCAGAUCAAUGAAAAACACCUCAAUCCACUUGGUUCAGAGCCCUCGAGUCGGUGCUCGUGGAAUUGGGAGGAACGACUCCAACGACUCCUCCUCAACCCGCCGCCGCCACUGCCCGACUCCUGCUCAACCAUGUCGCUGUCUCUUCCGCAACACCUCGCCUCCCGACGCAGGCGAACUACUCCGGUGGUAAGUCAUCGUCGCCCCUCUCCUCUCCCUCCCCCGUCCUCUCCCUCUCUCGUGGUAAGUCUUCACCAUGGUUGCAUUCCCUCCGUCCACCUCGUCCUCCGUCCCACACAGAAUCCGUCGGGUUCCAGCACCACGCCGCCCUACGCAAGGUCACCGGCCACCUCUUCUACAGAAGCAACAACGGCAGCUAGCUCGCGCCCCCGAUGGCCCGUGUCGCACCUGUUCACCAGAUCUGAGACAUUGAAUCUCACGAAUGGACUGAACCUGGCGAGUGUCGAGUGUUGUUUUGCCCUAACAUGUUCACUGAACCUGAUGGUUGCUCGGGCUGUUAUGGCUGUUGGAAAUAUGCCCUAGAGGCAAUGAUAAAUUGGUUAUUAUUAUAUUUCCUUGUUCAUGAUAAUUGUCUAUUAUUCAUGCUAUAAUUGUAUUAACCGGAAACCGUAAUACAUGUGUGAAUACAUAGACCACAACAUGUCCCUAGUGAGCCACUAGUUGGCUACCUCAUUGAUCAAUAGAUGGCCAUGGUUUCCUGAUCAUGGACAUUGAAUGUCAUUGAUAACGGGAUCACAUCAUUAGGAGAUAUGUGAUGGACAAGACCCAAUCCUAAGCAUAGCACAAGAUCGUGUAGUUCGUCUUCUAAAGCUUUUCUAAUGUCAAGUAUCAUUUCCUUAGACCAUGAGAUUGUGCAACUCCUAAAUGCCAUAGGAGUACUUUGGGUGUAUCAAACAUCACGACGUAACUGGGUGAUUAUAAAGGUGCACUACACGUAUCUCCGAAAGUGUCUGUUGGGUUGUACGAAUCGAGCAUGGGAUUUGUCACUCCGUGUGACGGAGAGGUAUCUCUGGGCCACUCGAUAAUGCAUCACUAUGAUGAGCUCAAUGUGACUAAGGAGUUAGCCAUCGUGUGAUGUGUUAUGCAACGAGUAAAGAGACUUGCCGGAAACGAGAUUGAGCAAGGUAUAGGGAUACCGACGAUCGAAUCUCGGGCAAGUGUCAUACCGGUAGACAAAGGGAAUUGUAUACAAGAUUGAGUGAAUCCUCGACAUCGUGGUUCAUCCAAUGAGAUCAUCAUGGAACAUGUGGGAGCCAACAUGGAUAUCCACACCCAGCUGUUGGUUAUUGGCCGGAGAGAUGCCUCGGUCAUGGUUGCAUGUUCCCCGAACCCGUAGGGUCUACACACUUAAUGUUCGGUGACGCUAGAGUUGUUAUGGGAAUCGUAUAUGUGAUUACUAAAGGUUGUUUGGAGUCCCGGAUGAGAUCCCGGACAUCACGACGAGUUCCAGAAUAGUCCGGAGAUAAAUAUUUAUAUAUCGAAAGUCUAGUUUCGGUCGGCGAAAUAGUUUCGGGGUUUAUCAGUACUGUACCGGGACCACCAAAAGGGUACCGGGAAGGUCCACCUGUCCUGGAGGGCCACAUGGGCUGAAAAGGGAUAGGAACCAGCCCCUGGUGGGCUGGUGCGCCAAGGGGAGGAAGGCACAAGGUGCAAGGGAGGCAAACCCUAGGCGUGGGGGCUGCCUUUGGUGGAAAGCCACCCACCUAGGGCGCCUCCACCUCCUCCUCCUUGGGUUGCCGCACCUUCUAGGGUUUCCCUAGGGGUGGCACACCCCCUCUCCCUCCCUCCUAUAUAUAGUGGAGGAUUGGGAGGGCUGCAACACACGUAAUUUGAGCACCUAUGGCGCAGCCCUACCUCUCCACCUCUUUAUCCUCCUACGCGGUGCUUGGCGAAGCCCUUACGGAGAGCUACAUACUCCAUCGCCACCACGCCGUCGGGCUGCCGGAGUUCUCCCUCAGCUUCUCCUCUCUCAUUGCUGGAUCAAGAAGGAGGAGGCGUCCCUGGGCUGUAGGUGUGUUGAAUGCGGAGACACCAUAUGUUCGGUGUUCGGGUUGGAUCUUCUGCGAUUUGAAUCGCCGCGAGUACGACUCCAUCGACCGCGUUCAUAGUAACGCUUCCACUAUGUGAUCUUCAACGGUAUGAAGGUGCUCUACCCCUUUGCUUGUAGCUGGUUUCUCCUAUUUUUAUGAUAAAGGAAAAGAAAAGAUGGAGGAGGUGGGAAAAUAAUUGAUAUCAUGAUUCACUCCAGAACAAGAAUUGAAAUCACUAUGAAAGAAGAACGAGAACUAUGUUAUGUUUAUCCUUCAUCAAGUUAAAUUGAUGACAAGCAACGGAUUUAGCAUACCACUUACUCUCCUUGAAAAGAUUGAGGAGAGAUAUGAGCACAAAUUUGAAGAAGUCUUGAAGGAGACACCGGCUAAAAUUGGAAUGAAUGGGAAUAACAAGAAUGAAUGGAGAUACAUGAGAAUGAAGAGAUCAUGAGCCACCUGAGAGAAAAACUUGAAAAAGGCACCGGAAUCAUUGAGAGACGAACGAAGAGACAACAAAGGAGAAGAAUUUGAGAAUGAAAGUUGAAGGUUGAGAAGGAAAAAACUUCUAAAAUGAUGGCCUUAGGAGGAUCGAGAAUGAAAAAAAAUCUAAAAUGCACCGGAUAGAUAUGGAAGGAAUUUCUCAUGAUCAAGAACAAUUGAGAGGAUAGCACGAAGCCGAAACCAGAAUCUUCAAGAAAAUGGACCAAGAUUUGAAGGAAACACUCCUUUAGUCUUCCAAGCUGAAAAUGAUGAGGAGAACACCACCAAGAAUAACUGGGACACUCCGGAAUAAGAAUAUGAAAAGUUGAGCCAAUAAUGAGAAUAAUUCUAAUAGAUCUUGGAGAAUGAACAUGACUAAUGGAAUCCAUACUUACGUCAUACACUACUGAAAUUCAGAAAUUUGCCAUCUGCCAAGGUGGACGGCAAAGGGUGCAACCACGGACGGCAAAGGCUUUGUCGUCGGUCAGCUGACACCAAAGUAGACGGCAAAAAAAAAUCCGGUGAAGAGGUUCUUUGCCGUCUGCUUUCUCAAAGUGGACGGCAAAGAAUCUUUGCCAUGAGGGGGCAGACGACAAAAUAAAUGGGACAUCACAUAUUGCAACGUCCCCGUUAAGUGUUAACGGCAGGCCUCUUCUCUUUGUCGUCUGCCUUCCCCCCUUUGCCAUGUGGGGGCAGACGGCAAAGAGGGGAGAGAGAGGGGGCAGAUUCCCCCCUUUGCUGUCUGCCUUCCCCCCUUUGCCAUGUGGGGGCAGACGGCAAAGAGGGGAACCAACCCCUUUUUUAUUUAUUUUUUGUUAUAUCCAGCAUUUUUAACAAUAAUCAGGAUAUAUAUAUAUAUAUAUAUUUGACAUAAAUAAAUUUCUUUCCGUACACAUAACCAUAUUAAAAUAACCUCUUAUAUCCAGCUUUUAAGUUGCAUCCGUACCAAACCAUAUAUUACACCAGUUUCAUCCACGUGCAUACAAAGUUUCAUAUAUUCAUAUACUACAAUAGUUUCAAUACAACCCAUGGUACAAGAAAUCAUCUUCAAGCAUUCCAUCAAUAUUUUCCAAGCUUCCCGUGAAGUGAAGGUAAUCUGCAAAAUGACAAAUAAGAAAGUUAGAAGAACAAUACUAGAUGAAGUAGUGUAUAUAUAGGUUAUUUCGGAGAGAAAUUAGCUAAGUAUAGACCAUUUAGGAGCUAACUAAGCUAAUUAUGUCAUUUAGGUGGAACCCUAGCUAACUAUAGGUCGUUUCGGAGCUAACUUGGGUAAAAUAGGUCAUUCCGGAGAAAACUAUACUUAUUAAACCAUUUUUGAUCUAGCUAGGCUAAUUAUAGGCCAUUUAAUACCUAAGUUAGGGGGAAUAGGUCAUGUUGCAGCUACGUAAGCCUUAUUAUGUCAUUUAGGAGAGAACUUAGCUAACUAUAGGUCAUGUUUUAUUAAAUAGACCAUUUAGGAGCUAACUAAGCUAAUUAUGUCAUUUCGUAGGAUAAUUAGCCAAUUUAGCCUUUCUUGGAUGAGUCUAAUCUACGUAGAAGAAGAGAAAGAGAAGAAGAAGUAAAAGACGGAGGAGGAGGAGGAGGAGAAGGAGAAGGAAGAGGAGAAGAAGAAGAAAAGAAGAAGGAGAAGGAGAAGGAGGAAGAAGGAGGAAGAAGAAGGAGAAGGAGAAGGAGGAACAAGGAGGAAGAAGAAGGAGAAGGAGGAGCUCCUUCUCCUUCUUCUCCUCCUCCUUCUCCUUCUUCUUAUCCUCCUCCCUCUCCUUCUUCUCCUCUUCUUCUUCUUCCUUCCUUUCAUUUUUCCUCUUUCUUCUCCUCUUGUCCCCUUCUUCGGGCUAAAUUGGCUAAGAAUGCCUUUUUGGAGCUAAUUAUGUCAUUUCGAGGAUAAUUAGCUAAGUAUAGGUCAUGUUUUAUUAAAUAGACCAUUUAGGAGCUAACUAAGCUAAUUAUGUCAUUUAGGUGGAACCCUAGCUAACUAUAGGUCGUUUCGGAGCUAACUUGGGUAAAAUAGGUCAUUCCGGAGAAAACUAUACUUAUUAAACCAUUUUUGAUCUAAGUCUAAGCUACGUAGAAGAAGAGAAAGAGAAUAAGAAGUAAAAGAAGGAGGAGGAGGAGGAGGAGGAGGAGAAGGAGAAGGAAGAGGAGAAGAAGAAGAAAAGAAGAAGGAGAAGAAGAAGGAGGAAGGAGGAAGAAGAAGGAGAAGGAGCUCCUCCUUCUCCUUCUUCUUCCUCCUUCUUCUCCUUCUUAUCCUCCUCCCUCUCCUUCUUCUUCUUCUCCGCUUCUUCUUCUUCCUUCCUUUCAUUUUCCUCUUUCUUCUCGUCUUGUCCCCUUCUUCGGGCUAAAUUGGCUAAGAAUGCCUUCUUGGAGCUAAUUAUGUCAUUUCGAGGAUAAUUAGCUAAGUAUAGGUCAUUUUUUAUUAAAUAGGUCAUUUUGGAGCUAACUAAGCUAAUUAUGUCAUUUAGAUGGAUAAUUAGCCAAUUUAGCCUUUCUUGGAUGAGUCUAAGCUACGUAGAAGAAGAGAAAGAGAAGAAGAAGUAAAAGAAGGAGGAGGAGGAGGAGGAGGAGGAGAAGGAUAAGGAAGAGGAGAAGAAGAAGAAAAGAAGGAGAAGGAGAAGGAGGAAGAAGGAGGAAGAAGAAGGAGAAGGAGGAGCUCGUUCUCCUUCUUCUCCUCCUUCUUCUCCUUCUUCUUAUCCUCCUCCCUCUCCUUCUUCUUCCUCUCCUCUUAUUCUUCUUCCUUCCCUUCUUUGGGCUAAAUUGGCUAAGCUAAUUAUGUCAUUUAGAUGGAAGUCUAGCUAUCUUUUACUAAAACACUAGAAAUAACAUACCUAAGUUAGGGUGAAGCACGGUGGCUCUGGCUUGUUUCACCUGGAGAAGGCUGCCUUGGAGAAGGCUCGACUGUAGAAGGGUCGUGCGAUGCGUUUCGGGAGAUAUUCUGCACCAAACAUCGUUUGCAAUGUGUAGUUAGCAUGAGGACACUCUUAAGAUCACUGCACUGAAAUGAAACUCACCGUCCCCGCCACGUUAAUGACUGGCAUCGGCGGAGGCACUUGGCCGCUCUUCUCGCACAUAGACUGUACAUUUGGUUUCAACAAGUCAAACUUUUUAUUUAUUAAUGAAACAGACAUUCAAAUGCAAGAUUUGAAAUAACAUGAAGAAGAAACUUACCACGAAGAGCUCGUAUAUGGCCCUGUUAGACGCAUCAUUCCGUGCCCUCUCCGCCUCCAUCAAUGUAGUCGUCCUCUCCUCCAGCUCCCUAAUUUCCUUAUCCUUCUCCGCUAUAGCCGCCUGCAUUGCCUCUCUCUCUUUCUAAAUAGCAGCCUGCAACACAACUCAUUGUUACCAAUGUAAUCAUAUUGGUUCCAACGCACAACAUAAAGCGGAAAGAUAGUUGAGUCCAUUAAACUAACCUCGAUGGCGAGCUCGACUGGCCAUGGACGACGUGUUAUCUCCGGACAAGAGCUCGUUUGGCGUGCCUUUAUCUGCCGGAGAGUGCUAGGACAACGUAUAAGGCCGUCUCCAAUGGCGAUCGAGCCAUGAGGCCUCCCGUUGACAGCUAUCAUCACCAGCUCUGGAUCAAUAGGCCCCUCGCUCGGGUUAAAGUCCUCUCCUUGCCUCGCCUUCCCGUGAUCUCUGUACUUCACGAGCUUGUCGUGGGAGGAGAUGUUGGUGAAGUUUUCUGGAUGCUCGAGGUCAGACUCAGAGAAUGCCUUGACCUUCUUGUACGAGGCAGUAUGGGCCAUCGCAUACAGGUCGUACAUCUGUGGCGCCUCCGUCUUAUUGUGACGCGCCUAAAAGAGAGAGAGGAAAAUUGUAUUGGUAAAGGGCUCAAGAUAGCAUUAAGAAUGAAUUGCAUGAGGCAUGAAGCAAACAACAUACCCAGUUCUCGCCAAAUUGGAUUAAGUUGACGCUCCCUUGAUGGUGUGGCACGCCAACCAUUUUGCCACGCCUCUCCUUGGCGUUGUUGUGGCUGGCCUCCCACGUUUCGGAGCACCACUGAUCCACCAAGGCCUCCCAACAAUCCAUCUUAUCCACACACCAUCUCGGGGGCACCUAAGUUAAUAAAGAGAAAUUUGAGUGCGUAAGAGCCAAAUCAAGGAAACUAACUAUAAAGCCUUAAUAAUAUGUAAUUACCUUCAUGUAAUGCUCCUUCUCCAUCUUAGCAUCACGGCACUUCGUCUUGUCAAUCCUAAUACGCUGCGUGGCAUAGUAGUCUCGAACAGCCUGCACCCGAGCCUCGUGCCGAAAGUUUUGAAGUAGGCGGCGACAUUCGGUUUCGAUAACCUUUGCCGCGUCCUCCUCGUAUCCCUCCUCACACGUGUAGAAGGCCUGCAAACGAGACAACACCGAUUAGUACAAUAAAUAGCUAUGGUUGAUUUAUAAUUGUGUGAAAGAGAAAUUACCCAGAACUUUUGGAUCACCAUGUCCGCCCUCGUGUCACACAAAACACCGUCGAUCUCCACCUUCGGCGGGGCCGGGGCACCCAAGUAGUGCUCCCAGGUCAUUCCUACCUCUCUCUCCCGACCGGGCAACGUAACAAACCCUGGGAAGUUUUGACGGCAAAGAAUACCAAGGACGCUGUUGGGCUUGCGGACACCCUUGGCAACAAUCCAACCCCUACAGUAUGACAAAUUAAACCCAAAACAUUAGAUAUUUGAGAAAACACGAAGGCAAAAGGUUAAAUAAGAGUAAAUUAACUUACUUGUCCCCAUUUGGCCUAAUCGACCACCUCUGCUCGGGGGUCGUUGGCACGAGCAGGAGCCCCGAACUACCACGCUGGUAGACGAUAGGCCCCUCACCCAGCUCCUCGUCGCUACCAGCAUGGCCACUUGGCUCAGGCCAGGUAUCCCACUGGGUCUCUUGGGACGUACCCUCAUCCCUGCUUUGCUCCGGAGUCUCCUGGAAGGAAGCCUCUGGGACACGAGCCUCGUGGGUUGAAGGCUCAUCGACCUGAGGCUCGUCGACCCGAGGCUCAUGAACCGGAGACCGUGUAGCCUCCACCUCAGACGAAUCCACCCUAGAAGUCAUGUGCUCAGGUGAAUCAGCUUGGGGUGGUGGCGGAGACCGUGUAGCCCUACCUCUCCCGCGGCCACGUGUACCUUUAGUACAACAUAAAUACCAACAUGAGUAAUAAAAUGUAUAUAAAUACCAAUAUGCAUACAACAUGAGUACAACAUAAAUACCAACAUGAAUACAACAUGUACCUUUAGUGCCUCUCGGCUUCGCGGGGGGUCGACCUCCUCUCACGGGGGGCGCUCCUUGCAUAGUAGAGAGCAACACUCUCCGAAGAGGCGAGGCAGGAAUGGAAGUACCCAUCCCAUCACCCGCCGACGAAGAAGCAGCCGCGGAGUGCUUUCGACCCUUUCCCACCAUCUUUCAACACCUGUCAUGACAAAGAGAAAAUGAAAUUAGUACAACAUAAAUACUAACAGGAGUAAUAAAAUGUACAUAAUUUAAGUGUAUCAUCGUCAUAAAUACCAACAUGACUAAUAAAAAUUGAAUACCUAACAUGAACUCAAAAUUUAUAUAUAGUAUAAUAGUUGAAUACCUGACAUGUUUUAAUAACAAUCGUCCUCGUCUAUAUAUGCUUCGGGGUCAAUAAAUGCAUCAUGAUCAUCACUAUCAUCAAUAAAUGCAUCAUUAUCAUCACUAUCACGAAGAACAUGUGGAAGGCCACCAUUAUGUAAUCGGUCAAGAAGUGACAGGUCAUCCGCAGCAGUAACCUCUUCUUCUUCCAGCUCUUCCUGUUCGGGCUCAGGGGUUAAGACGGAUUCACUGUCGCUGUCUACUUCAAUGUUCUGGGGUGAAGUAGAGCGGCCCCUUUCCUCGCCUUNNNNNNNNNNNNNNNNNNGAGCGGUUCUUGAAACAUUUCUUGGAGAUACGUGUUUCUUGGAAGAAUUCUCCUUCAUAUGUGUCUGGGUUAAUGUGAGGUUCGUAAUCUUCUUCAUUGAGGGUAGGUGGUCGGGGGUUAGUGUUGUCGGGGGUUGGUGUGUCGGUGGCAAAUAUGAUGUUUUUUAUAAUUAACAUAAUCGGAAAAUAUGUGACCUAACUCAUAAUUUACAAAAUUAUGACCCCGUCGGCUUAGUGGCGUCGAUGGUCGGUGGUGUCGGGUGUCGGUGGCGUCGAUGGUCGGUGGUGUCGGGUGUCGGUGGCGUCGAUGGUCGGUGGUGUCGGGUGUCGGUGGCGUCGAUGGUCGGUGGUGUCGGGUGUCGGUGGCGUCGAUGGUCGGUGGUGUCGGGUGUCGGUGGCGUCGAUGGUCGGUGGUGUCGGGUGUCGGUGGCGUCGGCGGUCGGGGGUUAGUUGUGUCGGUGGUNNNNNNNNNNNNNNNNNNNNNNNNNNNNNNNNNNNNNNNNNNNNNNNNNNNNNNNNNNNNNNNNNNNNNNNNNNNNNNNNNNNNNNNNNNNNNNNNNNNNNNNNNNNNNNNNNNNNNNNNNNNNNNNNNNNNNNNNNNNNNNNNNNNNNNNNNNNNNNNNNNNNNNNNNNNNNNNNNNNNNNNNNNNNNNNNNNNNNNNNNNNNNNNNNNNNNNNNNNNNNNNNNNNNNNNNNNNNNNNNNNNNNNNNNNNNNNNNNNNNNNNNNNNNNNNNNNNNNNNNNNNNNNNNNNNNNNNNNNNNNNNNNNNNNNNNNNNNNNNNNNNNNNNNNNNNNNNNNNNNNNNNNNNNNNNNNNNNNNNNNNNNNNNNNNNNNNNNNNNNNNNNNNNNNNNNNNNNNNNNNNNNNNNNNNGGGGGUCGGGGGUCGGGGUCCUUUUCUUUCUUCUUCUCCUCUCUCCUCUUCUUAUUCUUCUUCUUGAUCAUCAUAUUAUUAUUCUUCUUCUUCUUUCUCCUCCUCCUCCUCCUCCUCCUCCUCUUCUUCUUCUUUCUUUUAUCUUUCUCCUCCUUUCCUCUUUCUUCUUCUUCUUCUUCUUCUUCCUUUUUCUUCUAGUUUAUUAUUCUCUUAUUUUCUUCUAAGUUUUUUNNNNNNNNNNNNNNNNNNNNNNNNNNNNNNNNNNNNNNNUGUCAAAGUUUUUCUUUCUAUCUAUUUUUUUCUUCUCUAUCUACUUUUUCUACCUAAUAAACUAACUAUCUAAUUUCACAUAAAAACGGAAAAAACUAACUAUCCAAUUUAACAGAAAAAAUAGAAAAUAAACUAACUAUCUAAAUUAACUAUCUAAUUUAAAAGAAAAAACAGGAAAUAAAGACAAAAAGGAAAAAAAACUUACCUGCAGUGGGAGGAGGGCAGUGGGAGGAGGGGAGGGCGAGCUCCGGCCCUGGGCGGCGGGGAGGAGGGGCGUGGGGAGGAGGUGNNNNNNNNNNNNNNNNNNNNNNNNNNNNNNNNNNNNNNNNNNNNNNNNNNNNNNNNNNNNNNNNNNNNNNNNNNNNNNNGGGGAGGGGAGGGCGAGCUCCGGCCAUGGGCGGCGGUGAUGGGUCGGAGCGGUUCCGGUGGUUGUGGUGGCCGCGCUUGGGUGGGUAGAGCGCGAGGAGGAGGGCCGCAGGGAGGAGGGACGCGAGGAGGAGGGGAGCGGGGAGCUCCGGUCGUGGGCGGCGGCGGUGGGCCGGAGCAGCUCAGGUGGUGGUGGCGGCGGCGCUGGAGUGGGCACGGGCGCGCGCGAGAGAGGCAGGAGAUCGAGGGGANNNNNNNNNNNNNNNNNNNNNNNNNNNNNNNNNNNNNNNNNNNNNNNNNNNNNNNNNNNNNNNNNNNNNNNNNNNNNNNNNNNNNNNNNNNNNNNNNNNNNNNNNNNNNNNNNNNNNNNNNNNNNNNNNNNNNNNNNNNNNNNNNNNNNNNNNNNNNNNNNNNCGGGCUUCGGCCGUUAGGGUGGCGCCCCUUUGCCGUCUGCGUGCUCUUUGCCGACCGCCUCUCGGGCCUUUGUCAUGCGUCAGCGGACGACAAAGAGGUGGCCGACGGCAAAUAAAACCUUUGCCAUCAGCAACAUCUUUGUCGUCUGCUUUGUACCAGCUGACGGCAAAGAGGAUCUUUGCCAUGCGUCAGCAGACGACAAAGGCAUGGCAGACGGCAAAUUUCUCAAUUCCAGAAGUGAUAGUUGAAAAGAAUUAAAGAUCUCCGGAAAAGAUUAGAAGAGCCAGAUAAGAUCCUGGGAAAAGCAUGUUGGUUAUGGGCCCACUAAAAAACCCGGAUGAAUGGAUUGCUUAGGAAGACACAUAUUGCCCCGGUAUAAAGAAAACUUGAUGAGGUUAGACCCUCGAAAUAAUUGAAAGGGCUAAAAACAAGAAACUUCUGAGAUAUCUUGAACGCUCCGGAUAGAUUAGAGAGAGAUGAAAACAAGUAAGACUUGAUAUGAAUUUCUAGCACAUGAAUCAUUGAACAAAAGAAAAGGAUAUGAUGAACACCGAGAGCUUGAAUUGAAUCCACCGGGAAAGAGAAGAAGAAUGAAAAAUGAUGAACUCAGACUCCUGAGUAUCUUCACAAUGAAUCACCGGAUGCAACACAAAAGAGAAGAUAGCGGAAGCAUCCUUGAAUUGAACUGCACUUGGAUGAUAACUAAAUCAUUGAAGAAAAAGGUGGGAGGGCGGGAAAUACAAGACAACUUGGGACAGAUGAGAUGAACUCUGGUAAGAAAUGAGAGAUUGAACUUGCAAAAUUGGAGAAGAUUAAAUUCACUUGAAGAGAAGCACAUCGGUUGAAAAAGAAUUGAUAUGACGACUCCGGUUGAAAAGAAUUGAUAAGACAACUUGAUUGAGCAAAUGAAUUAGCAUUCCCAUAAAAAUAUGAGAACGCCUCUUGAAAAUAUAUGAAAUCACCAUUUGACAUCGAAGCAACUCGAAUUACCAUACUCCAACAAACAAGGAUGUGGCUUACGAAACAAGCCAGAACAAAUUCAUGAUAGAGAAUUCGUCCGAUAUUUCCGUGGAUAGGACCGCACGAGCUCUAUCCUACAGUAGCCAUCAUGUAUAAGGCGGUGCACACGACAUACGAAGGGUCCCCGAGUCGUAGCAAGCUACAAGGACUCUUUAAGACACAACGAGAACUGCUGUAAGACAACCGUGAACAAACGAAUGCACUAGAUGUCGAACCCCAACCUCACAUCAUAAAUCUGUUGGAAGAUUGUCCAACAAGUGACUACUUGAACUCCCACCUAAGAACUCCCGAAAUUUCUGGUCAUGCAAUCGGGUCCACGGUUAAAAGGAGUAAAAUCCAUCACUCAACUCUUAGCAAUAACACUAUCCGUCCAGCGUAUCACAUCCGUCAACACAACACUAGAGAUCUCGGAAACUCAUCUAUCUCAGAUCCUUGUAAUCACAAUGAUACCAAGAAGGGCGGUACCCCGAACUCUCUGCACCAGUACUGGGGAUGCCAGGGUUAUCUCACCACUACUAGUAUUGAAGCAAUUUCGAACAUCCUUCGUCCUGAGAUAAUAAGAAAUCUGAAUGAUAACGAUGUGCUCAAGAAUCCCCUGGAGCUCAACUCCCCGGAAUAAAAUCAACACAGCAGGAGGCACCAAGACAGAACUCCGUCACAUCGGCAUCAUAUAGAUUCCAAAAAUAUACGCGUGAUCCUAAUUUUUUUGAGUGAGAAGAGGAGUAGAAUUAAAAUUAUUACGUCAAGAUUCCUCACCAAAGCAUAGAAGAGGAGAAAAAAGAAUCCUACUCCCCGAUAUAUAACUAGAUUCAAAGUAAUUUUUCACUAGACUGGACUCGGCCAAGUUUGAUCAAUCAAGGGGACUCCUAGGUCGGUACUGCUCCGAUACCAACUUGUAAUGCCCAAGAUGCGAUUCUAUACUUAUUUUGGCGCGGGGGUCUCGACAGGGAUAGAAACACAUCUCGUUGUUUCGCAAGAAUGGAUAUCGUUACAAAUACAUGUACUGAAAAUAUGAGUAUAAGGAGUUGGCUUACACUCGCCACAAGCUACAUCAAAGUCACAUCAGUAUGACAAUAUGCAGUCAUCAUGCAGAAGAGCAGGGUCCAACUACGGACAAAAACAAACGAUAAAAUAACGACGGCCAUCCUUGUUAUCCCGGGCUGCCAGCCUAGAACCCAUCGUAGAUCGACGAAGAAGAAGAAUAAACUCCAAAUCAACAAUCAUCGCGCCCUCGUCAAGUAACACUUUACCUGUACCUACAACUGGUGUUGUACUAAUCUGUGAGCCAUAGGGACUCAGCAAUAUCAUUUCCAAAGGUAUCAAGACUAGCAAAGUUUAAAGGGUGAGGUAUGGUUAAGUGGUGAGACUGCAGCAAGCGUCUAAGCAUUAUUUGGUGGCUAACUUACGAGUACAGGAAUAAAAGAGGGGGAAGAUCUAACGCCUAGCGGACGUGAACUACUGAUGAUCAAAUGAAUGAUUCUGAACACCUACUUACGUCAAACAUAACCCCACCAUGUCCUCGAUCAGACAAGGAGCUCACGAAAGAGACAAUCACGAUUACACACUCAGUUGGCAUAUUUUAAUUUAGUUUACUUCAAGUUAUCUAGAAGUGGAUGGCCAAAAAGUUUCCACGUUGCCACAUAACCGCGGGCACGGCUUUCCGAAAGAUUUGACGCUGGAGGGGUGCUCGCGAUCUCGCGGACUCCUUAGUAGAAAACCACAACUCUGAGAUAGCCCAAAGCAUUAUCGGAAUCCCGAUGCUCAAGAUAUUCGUCCAAGGUAAAACAAAUCCAGCAAGGCCCCCGGCGUGCCGAGAGUACCGAUAGGACCCGUGUAUCUCGUUCUCAGGGCACGACCAGAUGGGCAAGACGUCGGGUUGGCUAAACCCUGGGUGACCAGUGGGCGCCGUACAUCGCUCGGUUUGGACCAACACUCAUGAGGAGCACUGGCCCGAGGGUUGAUUAAUUAUUCGCGGGUGCCGGCGGGUCCCUAUGCUUUUUAUUAGGUUAUUAGGCAAAUGUAGUACCAAAGUUGAGCCUUGCCAGACCAGUUUUAGUCUAAGACGAAUUAUCAAGGGGGUCCCCAUAACAACCCCGAUCGUGUUAGGAGCGCUCAUUAUGGAACAUAACACCGGUAGCCGAAACUAAGGCGGCAAAGGUGGAACAAAACACCAGGCUAGAAAGCCGAGCCUUCCACCUUUUACCAAGUAUAUAGGUGCAUUAAUUUAAAUAGCAUUAAUAAGGUGAUAUAACAAGGAACCCAUGUUAUCACAUGGAAGCAACUACACAUGUGACUAGCAACGCUAUCCAAUGGUUAAGCAAGCGAUAACAUAGCCAAAUAGUGGUUUGCUAGGUUAUAGAAGGUUGAAGGUUUUCAUGGCAAUGUUGAGGAGCUUAUUUAAACAGAUGGUAGGCAUUGAAACAUAAAGAUAGAAACGAAACAUCUAGCAUGGCAAUGAUAGUAAUGGUAUCUAGGUAAAUGACCAUCUUGCCUGAGAUCCCGUUUGGAAGAAGAAUGACUCUGUGAAGUAGAUGAACCAACCGACGUAGUCGAACGGAUUCUCCAUUCCGACACACUUGCGGAACUCUAUCGAGAUGAAGCAAACCGGAAACAAGAAUCAACACACAAUAUCCACUACGAUACAUGCACAACAUGAUGCAAUUCACAUAUGAUGCAUGAUCAGGUUCAAAUAUGCAAGGCAGGGCAUGGCAAUCAUAACAGUCAAACACUACACAUUAAGUGAAGCUCAAUACGUUGCAUCUUGACAAAACUCCAUGUUUAGUUAUUUAGUUCACUCCCGUUUAUUUCCAAGGUAAUAUUAAAUAUUGUUAAACAUGGCAAGGGGUGAAGCACAAAUUAAACUACCUAUCUAGGCAUUUUAAAUGAGACCAAAAAGGACAUAUAGCGUCUCCGAACUGACCCCACAUGUUAACUUUGAAAUCUGUCCAGAUUUGUCCUUAUCAUAUUUUAUAUUUGUUAAACGGCAAAACAAAGUGGUUCACGUGAAACUACACGUCGUUCUAGUCCAUUUACAUAUUUGGCUCAUCUCCAACGGAGCUACGGUUAGUUAACUAUGACCUAAACCGUUUCUAUCAUGUCCACAUGCAAACCGAUGCAAACAACACGCUUAACAGUCUUAAAUAUGCAUAACAGUUGGAAAAUCUUGAUCUACACGAAAUUCUACACGUUCUAUAUAUAUAACUUGUCACGAUCCGACACACGGUUUAAAAG